UACGUAGGGAGCAAGCGUUGUUCGGAUUUACUGGGCGUAAAGGGCGCGUAGGCGGCAAUUCAAGUCAGCUGUGAAAUCUCCGGGCUUAACUCGGAACGGUCAGCUGAUACUGCUUUGCUAGAGUGCGGAAGGGGCAAUCGGAAUUCUCGGUGUAGCGGUGAAAUGCGUAGAUAUCGAGAGGAACACCUGAGGUGAAGACGGGUUGCUGGGCCGAUACUGACGCUGAGGAGCGAAAGCGUGGGGAGCGAACAGG
rnacentral:rRNA from 1 species